rnacentral:rRNA from 1 species
UACGUAGGGUCCAAGCGUUAUCCGGAAUCACUGGGCGUAAAGCGUGCGUAGGCGGGAGUUUAAGUGCAAUGCGAAAUCUUGUGGCUCAACCAUAUAGACUGUAUUGCAUACUGGACACCUUGAGGACGGCAGAGGCAAGUGGAAUUACUGGUGUAGCAGUGAAAUGCGUAGAUAUCAGUAGGAACACCAAUGGCGAAGGCAGCUUGCUGGGCCGACCCUGACGCUAAGGCACGAAAGCGUGGGGAGCGAACAGG